ensembl:misc_RNA
UGGCUGCAAUAUUUGCCCUCUGCAUUCUACUGAGCAGUCGGUGAUAAACCUAGUCCCUAUCUUUAGAUAGAUCCCCUUCCCUUCCUGCGGGACAGCUGUCUCUCUCUCCCCUCCAGGCAGGAAACAUUACCUCCAUUUGAC